rnacentral:hammerhead_ribozyme from 1 species
GCACUGCUGAGGAGUCCCAUAAUAGAACGAUACGAUCGUCUAGUGC